rnacentral:rRNA from 1 species
AUUGAACGCUGGCGGAAUGCUUUACACAUGCAAGUCGAACGGCAGCACGGACUUCGGUCUGCCGGCGAGUGGCGAACGGGUGAGUAAUUCAUCGGAACGUGCCCUGUAGUGGGGGAUAACUAGUCGAAAGAUUAGCUAAUACCGCAUACGACCUGAGGGUGAAAGUGGGGGACCGCAAGGCUCCAUGCUAUAGGAGCGGGCGAUGUCUGAUUAGCUAGUUGGUGGGGUAAAGGCCUACCAAGGCGACGACCAGUAGCUGGUCUGAGAGGACGAUCAGCCACACUGGGACUGAGACACGGCCCAGACCCCUACGGGAGGCAGCAGUGGGGAAUAUUGGACAAUGGGGGGAACCCUGAUCCAGCCAUGCCGCGUGUGUGAAGAAGGCCUUAUGGUUGUAAAGCACUUUAAGCGAGGAGGAGGCUCUUUUGGUUAAUACCCAAGAUGAGUGGACGUUACUCGCAGAAUAAGCACCGGCUAACUCUGUGCCAGCCGCCGCCGUAA